AUCGCUUCUAGGCCUUUUGGCUAAGAUCAAGUGUAGUAUAUCUGUUUUAAAAUCAUUAUUUGAUGGCUCUGGACAAAAUAUAUUCUUCAGAUGUAGCAGAGUUUACUUAAGAUAUGUAUUUAAA
rnacentral:snRNA from 1 species